rnacentral:lncRNA from 1 species
AUGAAAGUGACCGUACUGAGCUCGAGGGCUGGAGAGGAGCAGGCAGUGUGGGCAUUACCUCCUUUGUGGCCGAGCCAGCUCUGGUCCAGGAAACGUGGGAAUGGGGACGCGAAAAAGCUUGCUGACCCAAAGUGUGAGGUUCCCAAUGACUAUGCGAAGAGACUUCUCUGUUCUGCAUGUCUUGAAGAGGCGAGCUCAGGUGAGCAGAGGAUAACUCCUCCCCUCUUUCUGUCAUUGACACAGGGCGGUUUCGUUCCCAGAGAAAUUUUAGAGAAAAAUCAAUGCCAAACAGUUUUCAUAUAUCUCUGUGUGCUUUUUACUAUUCUUAUAAAAGCUUUCUUCUGAAAAACCUAAGCAGGACUGUACAGACACUCCCUGGGCUGGUGCUCACACUGUUGUGCUGAGGAAGUUAACGCGUGGCCAGCUAACUCACAGUUAGAAAUAAACUCUGACUGCCGAGUCA